UGGGGAUGUGGCUCAAGUGGUAGAGCACUCGCCUAGCAUGCGUGAGGCCCUGGGUUCAAUUCCCAGCACCACAU